GGGGAUGUAGCUCAGUGGCAGAGCAUUUGACUGCAAAAUAAUAGUUACAUGAAAUAUUUUAGCUUAUUCCCU
rnacentral:tRNA from 1 species